rnacentral:rRNA from 1 species
GCGAACGCUGGCGGCAGGCUUCACACCUGCCAGUCGAACGGGCAUCUUCGGAUGUCAGUGGCAGACGGGUGAGUAACACGUGGGAACGUACCCUUCGGUUCGGAAUAACUCAGGGAAACUUGAGCUAAUACCGGAUACGCCCUUUUGGGGAAAGGUUUACUGCCGAAGGAUCGGCCCGCGUCUGAUUAGCUUGUUGGUGGGGUAACGGCCUACCAAGGCGACGAUCAGUAGCUGGUCUGAGAGGAUGAUCAGCCACACUGGGACUGAGACACGGCCCAGACUCCUACGGGAGGCAGCAGUGGGGAAUAUUGGACAAUGGGCGCAAGCCUGAUCCAGCCAUGCCGCGUGAGUGAUGAAGGCCUUAGGGUUGUAAAGCUCUUUUGUCCGGGACGAUAAUGACGGUACCGGAAGAAUAAGCCCCGGCUAACUUCGUG